AAGCUGCGACUGCAGGAACUCACAGCAAACCUGACGAACAUCCAUCAGCUGGAGGAGGCUCGCUGCUGGCAGCAGCACCUGCAAAGAGGAGGACACACACAUGGCGGCGCCGUUCAGACCUGGCUUAAACAAGCGUCUUGGCUGAUCCGAUCACAGCUUGCUAUCAGAUAUUGUCCCCCGCUCUAUAUGUACAUCAUUUCUUUCUGCAAAGAUCAAAUGCAAUGUCGUUUUUAAGAAGUUCCGGUGGGAGGUAGCACUGCACUUCAAGUCUGCCUGAAAUCAAAAGAAGAAGAAGAAGAAGCAAUCAUUUCAACACUGACUGGAUCUGUUCCCUGGCGUCUUUCGAGACAAGUAUUUUAACCACAACUCGCAGGCUUCCGCACGCGGUCUCCAAUCUGCCUCACAAAUUUGGGAUUCUGCACAUUCUGCACUGACGGAUAGUACAACAGAAGCGGAGAACCUGAGGUUUUACUGCACCGUAUAUAUACCAAUGCAUCUAUGCCUUUAUUAUAUACAGUCGUAAUUGGCACUUUUGGGAAAAGUUGUAUUAAAUAAGCAGGACCAAUUUGGCUAUAUAUUGGAUUUCCAGGAUUGUUGCCGUUGUUGAACCUUAAUUUGUCAAUUAAGAUUUUCAGAUUUAGACAAAAACCGACUCACGCUGACCAUAGCAACCAGGUCAGGGCAUCAGCAAUGAUCAAUCCACAUUAUGUCAAAUGUCAGUGUUUCCUCCAUCAAUUACAUUUGUUCGGUCACUUGGAGCCACUGAAUGAUUGAUUUGAAAAUAGACAAGUGUGUGUUCAUGGUAAUAAAGGAAUAUGGCACCUGG